AUAGGAUCUUGAGCAAGGAUUUGACAGUGGGAAUGAAAAGAACGUAAAGUACUAGUUGGCUUGAAAACUAAUGAUACAAAUAAGGUGACUUAGCUCAAUCCUUUAAAAAGGAGAGCUUGAAGUCAAGAUUAAGAUGUUAUUAUUUUAUCUGGAAGAUGCAAGCCCACUAACGUAAGAAGGAAAAACAGAAGUGGGGCAAGGAAGUUGCAAAGCAAUUUAAUGCAUUGUGUUACAACACUGGUCACCAUUGCAUGAUGAGUCACUAAGAGAUGCCUCAGGUUGCUUAGCAGAUGUACUCACUCAACACAUAGAACUUCUCUGGAAGUGUGAUAAGAAUAAACCAAAUUUAGGAGAGAGAAAGAAGGAGAAAUUUGUCUUCCCAGAACCCUCUCGUCUCAAAUUACUUAUUGAUAAACAGCAUGGGGAGCUUUUACCUUUAUACUGUUACAUCAUCUGACUCCCUCAGUGCCACUCAGGAAGAGAGAUCCCUUGUACUCUAGAGUGUUAUUUCAUCCAAGUCCAAAAACGGAGGAGUGACCUGAUGUGACUGGGGACCUGACCAAAAGAGAGAAAGAAAAAAGUGGUCAAGAGAAUCCGAGAAGGCACAUACAGUCACAUGAGGAAAGGCCAAUUGGAAGCAAAUCAUCCAAACUAAACUAUUGAAAUGGUGAGGAUCCUUUACUUCUUCGUCUUCUUCUAAGUUGACAGGAUUCAUGUAGAGACAUGAACUGAAAACAGAGCCCCGGCAGUAUUCUCUGUUUGGAUGUGUAUCAGCCGAGUGCUGAAGAAGUCAUGAAUUUCCUUCUUGGGAAAUGUCUCUUGUCAUGAGCCAUGUAACCUAACUGAAUGUAUAGGAGGAUGCGAGAGACAGUCAGUGAUCAAAAGUCUAGUAACCAGGAGAGCUGAUUCUGCACUUGCGUUGGUCAUUAACAAGAUUCAAAUAUGGGAGCAGGUAAGCUUGGCCUUCAGACAGUCUGUCUCCAGAGCCCAGGCUUCCAACCAGUGC
rnacentral:lncRNA from 1 species